GGCCUGCCCAAUGAUAUUUAAAUGGCCGCGGUAUUUUGACCGUGCAAAGGUAGCAUAAUCAAUAGUUUUUUAAUUGAAAGCUGGAAUGAAAGGUUUGAUGAGAAAAUGACUGUCUCUAUUUAAAUUUGUUAAAAUUUUAUUUUUAAGUAAAAAAGCUUAAAUAUUAAUAAAAGACGAGAAGACCCUAUAGAGUUUUAAUUUGAUUGGGGCGAUUGAAAAAUUAAAUAAACUUUUUUUAUAUAAAUCCAUUAAUUUAUGAAUAAAUGAUCCUUAUUUUAAGAUUAGAAGAGUAAAUUACCUUAGGGAUAACAGCGUAAUUCUUUUAAAGAGUUCAAAUCGAAAAAAGAGAUUGCGACCUCGAUGUUGGAUUAAAAUUAA
rnacentral:rRNA from 1 species